rnacentral:tRNA from 1 species
GCCGAGAUAGUUUAGCGGAGAGAACACCGCCAGAGGGCGGUAGGCGCAGGUUCGAAUCCUGCUCUCGGCA